rnacentral:lncRNA from 1 species
CUUCCCCCAACCUCCGACUAUCCUCAAGGUCUUGUAAAGAAGUGCAUAGAUGAAUACUAAAUCCAGAGUCAAACACCCAAUUGAAUGCAGAAAAAACUAUUAGGUUAGUUUCUAUAAUAAGCAUAGCUUCAGAAGGUCCACUUGUUAGAUGUAUGCCCUAGAAACCAAAUUGAUCGAUACUUAUAAUACUUUCUUAGGACAUAUUUGGUAAUAUUGACUUAUCAUUAAUAAAAUUAGAUUUAUUUUCAUUCAAAUCU